rnacentral:rRNA from 1 species
AGUGAACGCUGGCGGCGUGCUUAACACAUGCAAGUCGAACGAGAACGGGUUAUAGCUUGCUAUAAUUGACAGCUAAGUGGCGAACGGGUGAGUAAUAUAUAAGUAACGUGCCCUAAAGAGGGGGAUAACAGAUGGAAACGUCUGCUAAGACCCCAUAGGCUUUUAUACAAAAGUAUAGAAGGGAAAUAUUUAUAGCUUUAGGAUCGGCUUGUAGAGUAUCAGUUAGUUGGUGUGGUAAAGGCAUACCAAGGCAAUGACGCUUAACUGGUUUGAGAGGAUGAUCAGUCACACUGGAACUGAGACACGGUCCAGACUCCUACGGGAGGCAGCAGUGGGGAAUAUUGCACAAUGGGGGGAACCCUGAUGCAGCAACGCCGCGUGGAGGAAGAAGCAUUUCGGUGUGUAAACUCCUUUUAUAUAGGAAGAUAAUGACGGUACUGUAUGAAUAAGCACCGGCUAACUCCGUGCCAGCAGCCGCGGUAAUACGGGGGGUGCAAGCGUUACUCGGAAUCACUGGGCGUAAAGGGCAUGUAGGCGGAUAUAUAAGUCAGGAGUGAAAUCCUAUGGCUCAACCAUAGAACUGCUUUUGAAACUGUAUGUCUAGAGGAUGGGAGAGGUAAAUGGAAUUUCUGGUGUAGGGGUAAAAUCCGUAGAGAUCAGAAGGAAUACCCAAUGCGAAGGCGAUUUACUGGAACAUAACUGACGCUAAGAUGCGAAAGCGUGGGGAGCGAACAGGAUUAGAUACCCUGGUAGUCCACGCCCUAAACGAUGUACACUAGUUGUUGCUAUGAUAAAGUAGCAGUAAUGCAGUUAACACAUUAAGUGUACCGCCUGGGGAGUACGGUCGCAAGAUUAAAACUCAAAGGAAUAGACGGGGACCCGCACAAGCGGUGGAGCAUGUGGUUUAAUUCGACGAUACGCGAAGAACCUUACCUGGUCUUGACAUAGUAAGAAGAUUGUAGAGAUACGAUUGUGUCUGCUUGCAGAAGCUUAUGUACAGGUGCUGCACGGCUGUCGUCAGCUCGUGUCGUGAGAUGUUGGGUUAAGU